CUGCUGCCUCCCGUAGGAGUCUGGUCCGUGUCUCAGUACCAGUGUGGGGGACCUUCCUCUCAGAACCCCUAGACAUCGUCGCCUUGGUGGGCCGUUACCCCGCCAACUAGCUAAUGUCACGCAUGCCCAUCCGUCUCCGGAGUCGCCUCCUUUGGCCGAAAGAAGAUGCCUCCCCUCGGCCACAUGCGGUAUUAGGCCGGAUUUCUCCGGGUUAUCCCGCUGAAACGGGCAGGUUGCAUACGCGUUACUCACCCGUGCGCCGGUCCG
rnacentral:rRNA from 1 species